rnacentral:lncRNA from 10 species
UUUUAUAACUUUUUAACUUUAAUAACAUAAAUAUUAAUUUUUAAAAAUAAGGCUGGCCAGGCAUGGUGGCUCAUGCCUGUAAUCCCAGCACUUUGGGAGGCUGAGGCGGGCGGAUCACGAAGUCAGGAGAUCGAGACCAUCCUGGCUAACACGGUGAAACCCCGUCUCUACUAAAAAUACAAAAAAUUAACCGGGCAUGGUGGCGGGCACCUGUAGUCCCAGCUACUCGGGAGGCUGAGGCAGGAGAAUGGCGGGAACCCGGGAGGUGGAGCCUGCAGCGAACCAGGAUUGUGCCACUGCACUCCAGCCUGGACAACAGAGCGAGAGUCUGUCUGAAAACAAAAAAAUAAGGCUGGGAGCUGCAGUGGCUCAGGCUGUUUGUUCUGGCGCUUGGGGAGGCGAGGCUACACGUUCGAGGCCAACCUGGUCAACAUUGACCAAAAAAAAAAAAAAAAUUCCAACCUGGCUAACACGGUGAAACCCCGUCUCCACUAAAAAUACAAAAACUGUCUGGGCAUGGUGGUGGGCCCUGUAUUCCCAGCUACUCGGGAGGCAUGAGCCACCGCGCCCGGCUAAUUUUUGUAUUUUUAGUAGAGACAGGAUUUCACCAUGUUGGUUAGGUUGGUCUCGAUCUCUUGACCUCGUGAUCUGCCCGCCUCAGCCU